rnacentral:rRNA from 1 species
AGGCUGCUGACAGCCCCGGAUAGCUGGUGUUCCCGGCUCCUAAAAGCUCGCUAUUUUCCCAAUGGAAAUCUGGAGGAUACUGUUUUCUCAGGUGGGGCUUCUCCAACGUGGCAGGCUGUUCUACACGGGCUUGAUCUGCUCAAAAAAGGGUUGGUUUGGCGUGUGGGUAGUGGGCAAUCCAUCCGAAUUUGGAGGGAUAAAUGGAUAAUGCGUCGUGAAACAGCAGGACUGCCUAUCACACCUCACGGUCGGUGCCGGCUUAGGCGAGUUUCAGAACUUCUGGACGAUCAUGGUAACUGGAAGAUGAACACCUUGCAGCAAUAUUUCCUACCAGUGGAUGUGGAAGAGAUUGUCAAAAUCAAAGCUUGUCCUAGGUUGGGGAACGAUGUGCUUGCAUGGUCACCUGAACGGAGUGGUACCUUUACGAAGGUGCGUGUGUUUGCAUGGAGACUUAUUACUGAUUCUCUUGCCACAUGGGUUAAUAAGAAACGACGUAAUCUGGAAGUGUCUGACUUAUGCCCUUUGUGUGCAUCCGAGCCGGAGAACACAUUCCAUACAUUUUGCAGGUGUCCGCGAGCGGUGGCCCUCUGGCAGGCAAUGGCGUCCCAUUGGAAGCUACCGGACGUCCGGAAGAUAGCACACACAGGCCCCGAGUGGCUCCUGAAUACCAUUGGCGACAUCUCGGAGACGGAGCGGCUGCAUCUCCUCAUGACCUUAUGGCGCUGCUGGCAUGUGAGAAAUGAAAUUGUGCAUAACAAAAAGCCACCGGAUAUUGAAUCCUCAAGACGCUUCUUGUUGAGCUAUGUGAAGUCCUUGGUUGCUAUUCAGCAGCACCCCACAGCUGAUCAGGUCAAGGGGAAGAUGGUCACUGAUGCUGAUCAGUUCAGCAACCGAUCAUCGCGUGCGGACGCUGUAAAGGAGGCCCCCCUCCGAUGGACGCCACCGCCGCCAGGGUGGACAACUCUGAGUGUUGAUGGCUCCUACUGUGAGCAUGACCGUACGGCUGGUACGGGCAUGGUGCUACGUGACGAAGGUGGAGACCCUAUCUUCUCAUCAUGCCGUGAGCUGCGCUCUUGUCACUCUCCACUGGAAGCUGAGAUUGCAGCAUGUAGAGAAGGGAUUUCACUUGCGCUUCAGUGGACAACCUUGCCAAUUAUUGUUGAGACCGAUUGCCUUGAGGUAGUCCGCACCAUCCAAAGCACCAGCAGAGAUAGAUCAGUGCACGCCAUGAUGAUUGAAGAUACUAAGAUUCUGCUUCAUGAAGGAAGGGAGUUUAUUAUCAAGCAUAUUAAGAGGGAACAAAACAGUGUUAGCCACUUCUUGGCCAACUUUGGCAGAACAGAAAAACGCACUGCCGUUUGGCUUCGUUCUGGACCUAGAGAGGUGCCAGACCUUUGUAAGGCAGACAUGUUCGUUGCUUGA